CAAUAGCGUAUAUUAAAGUUGUUGCAGUUUAAAAGCUCGUAGUUGGAUUUCUGUGAGAGUGCCGGUGUCGGCUGAUGCUUGUACGCAGGCGCUCUUACAUCCUUCAGUUAACUGUUCUUGGCAUUUUAUUGCUGGUUCAGGGCUCAGAUAUUUUACCUUGAGAAAAUUAGAGUGUUUCAGGCAGGCUUAUGCCGGAAUACAUUAGCAUGGAAUAAUGGAACAGGACCUGUGCGUCUCUCGGGGCGCCGGUCUCCGUUAUUGGUUUCGGGGACUAAUGUAAUGAUUAAUAGGGAUAGUUGGGGGCAUUAGUAUUUAAUAGUCAGAGGUGAAAUUCUCGGAUUUGUUAAAGACUAACUUAUGCGAAAGCAUUUGCCAAGGAUGUUUNCAUUAA
rnacentral:rRNA from 1 species